rnacentral:rRNA from 1 species
UACAGAGGAGCCAAGCGUUGUCCGGAUUGACUGGGCGUAAAGCGCACGCAGGCGGGGUGCGCGUGGGGUGUGAAUCUGGCCGCUUAACGGCCAGGCGCCAUCCCAUACGGCACGCCUGGAGCCUUGCGAGAGGUCGGUGGAAUUGCCGGUGUAGUGGUGAAAUGCGUAGAGAUCGGCAGGAACACCCAGGGGGAAACCAGCCGACUGGGCAAGUGCUAACGCUGAGGUGCGAGAGCGUGGGGAGCGAACCGGAUUGAGAAACC